AUGGGGAACCUAGCUGAGAGCAUCGCAUGUGGCGUGGCGGCGUCGGGUGUCCUCUCGGCCUCCGCCAUCCGCACCACGGUCCACCGUCACCCUGAGCGCUGCGCCGCCUUCGCCUCCCUUGGCGCCACCAUCCUCGCCUCCAACGCCCAGGUUGUCGAGGACAGUGAUGUGAUCGUCAUCUCUAUCAAGCCUCAGAUUGUGAAGAAGGUUCUGGUUGAGCUCAAGCCCUUGCUGUCUGAAGAAAAGCUUCUGGUGUCCAUUACUGCUGCUAUUAAAAAUGAAAGAUUUACAGAUUGGCCAGUGUAUUCAGGGUUUACUGAACUUCUGAAACUUUAA
rnacentral:rRNA from 1 species